AACAGGAUUAGAUACCCUGGUAGUCCACGCUGUAAACGAUGUCGACUUGGAGGUUGUGCCCUUGAGGCGUGGCUUCCGGAGCUAACGCGUUAAGUCGACCGCCUGGGGAGUACGGCCGCAAGGUUAAAACUCAAAUGAAUUGACGGGGGCCCGCACAAGCGGUGGAGCAUGUGGUUUAAUUCGAUGCAACGCGAAGAACCUUACCUACUCUUGACAUCCAGAGAAUUUGCUAGAGAUAGCUUAGUGCCUUCGGGAACUCUGAGACAGGUGCUGCAUGGCUGUCGUCAGCUCGUGUUGUGAAAUGUUGGGUUAAGUCCCGCAACGAGCGCAACCCUUAUCCUUUGUUGCCAGCACGUAAUGGUGGGAACUCAAAGGAGACUGCCGGUGAUAAACCGGAGGAAGGUGGGGAUGACGUCAAGUCAUCAUGGCCCUUACGAGUAGGGCUACACACGUGCUACAAUGGCAUAUACAAAGAGAAGCGAACUCGCGAGAGCAAGCGGACCUCAUAAAGUAUGUCGUAGUCCGGAUUGGAGUCUGCAACUCGACUCCAUGAAGUCGGAAUCGCUAGUAAUCGUAGAUCAGAAUGCUACGGUGAAUACGUUCCCGGGCCUUGUACACACCGCCCGUCACACCGUGGGAGUGGGUUGCAAAAGAAGUAGGUAGCUUAACCUUCGGGAGGGCGCUUACCACUUUGUGAUUCAUGACUGGGGUGAAGUCGUAACAAGGUAACC
rnacentral:rRNA from 1 species